rnacentral:rRNA from 1 species
ACGGAAGGCAGCAGUGGGGAAUUUUGGACAAUGGGCGCAAGCCUGAUCCAGCCAUGCCGCGUGCGGGAAGAAGGCCUUCGGGUUGUAAACCGCUUUUGUCAGGGAAGAAAAGGUUCUGGCUAAUACCUGGGACUCAUGACGGUACCUGAAGAAUAAGCACCGGCUAACUACGUGCCAGCAGCCGCGGUAAUACGUAGGGUGCAAGCGUUAAUCGGAAUUACUGGGCGUAAAGCGUGCGCAGGCGGUUAUGCAAGACAGAGGUGAAAUCCCCGGGCUCAACCUGGGAACUGCCUUUGUGACUGCAUGGCUAGAGUACGGUAGAGGGGGAUGGAAUUCCGCGUGUAGCAGUGAAAUGCGUAGAUAUGCGGAGGAACACCGAUGGCGAAGGCAAUCCCCUGGACCUGUACUGACGCUCAUGCACGAAAGCGUGGGGAGCAAACAGGAUUAGAUACCCUGGUA